rnacentral:tRNA from 1 species
CCUUCGAUAGCUCAGCUGGUACAGCGGAGGACUGUAGAUCCUUAGGUCGCUGGUUCGAUUCCAGCUCGAAGGA